CGGGGCAGCGAAUUUUUAACCUAGCGGCGGACGGGUGAGUAACGCGUGGGUAACCUACCCUAAAGCCCGGGAUAACAGCGGGAAACUGCUGCUAAUACCGGAUAGCUUUAUCUGGAGGCAUCUUCGGAUAAGGAAAGAUUUAUCGCUUUAGGAUGGGCCCGCGUCCCAUUAGCUAGUUGGUGAGGUAACGGCUCACCAAGGCGACGAUGGGUAGCCGGCCUGAGAGGGUGAACGGCCACACUGGGACUGAGACACGGCCCAGACUCCUACGGGAGGCAGCAGUAGGGAAUAUUGCGCAAUGGAGGGAACUCUGACGCAGCGACGCCGCGUGAGCGAUGAAGGUCUUCGGAUCGUAAAGCUCUGUCCUUGGGGAAGAAGGUCUUCGGACUUGACGGUACCUAAGGAGGAAGCCCCGGCUAACUACGUGCCAGCAGCCGCGGUAAUACGUAGGGGGCAAGCGUUGUCCGGAAUUAUUGGGCGUAAAGGGUGCGUAGGCGGCCUUUUAAGUCAGAUGUGAAAGCCCACGGCUUAACCGUGGGACUGCAUUUGAAACUGGAGGGCUUGAGUAUCGGAGAGGGUAGUGGAAUUCCCAGUGUAGCGGUGGAAUGCGUAGAUAUUGGGAGGAACACCAGUGGCGAAGGCGACUACCUGGACGAAAACUGACGCUGAGGCACGAAAGCUAGGGGAGCAAACAGGAUUAGAUACCCUGGUAGUCCUAGCCGUAAACGAUGGGUACUAGGUGUAGGAGGUUUCGAUACCUUCUGUGCCGCAGUUAACGCAAUAAGUACCCCGCCUGGGGAGUACGUGCGCAAGCAUGAAACUCAAAGGAAUUGACGG
rnacentral:rRNA from 1 species